rnacentral:rRNA from 1 species
AUUAAACGCUGGCGGCAUGCCUUACACAUGCAAGUCGAACGGCAGCACGGGGGCAACCCUGGUGGCGAGUGGCGGACGGGUGAGUAAUGCAUCGGAACGUGCCCUGAAGUGGGGGAUAACGCAGCGAAAGCUACGCUAAUACCGCAUAUUCUGUGAGCAGGAAAGCAGGGGAUCGCAAGACCUUGCGCUUUGGGAGCGGCCGAUGUCGGAUUAGCUAGUUGGUGGGGUAAAGGCCUACCAAGGCGACGAUCCGUAGCGGGUCUGAGAGGAUGAUCCGCCACACUGGGACUGAGACACGGCCCAGACUCCUACGGGAGGCAGCAGUGGGGAAUUUUGGACAAUGGGCGGAAGCCUGAUCCAGCCAUGCCGCGUGAGUGAAGAAGGCCUGGU